rnacentral:rRNA from 1 species
UACGUAGGAUGCUAGCGUUGUCCGGAUUUACUGGGCGUAAAGCGCGCGCAGGCGGCACUGUAAGUAAGGUGUGAAAUCUCCCGGCUCAACUAGGAGGGUGCGCCGAAUACUGCAAGGCUUGAGUACUGGAGAGGAUAGCGGAAUUCCUGGUGUAGCGGUGAAAUGCGUAGAUAUCAGGAGGAACACCGGCGGUGUAGACGGCUAUCUGGACAGUAACUGACGCUGAGACACGAAAGCGUGGGGAGCAAACAGG